CCUACGGGGGGCUGCAGUGGGGAAUAUUGGACAAUGGGCGAAAGCCUGAUCCAGCCAUGCCGCGUGUGUGAAGAAGGCCUUCGGGUUGUAAAGCACUUUCAGUGGGGAAGAAAGCCUUGGGGCUAAUACCCUCGAGGAAGGACAUCACCCACAGAAGAAGCACCGGCUAACUCCGUGCCAGCAGCCGCGGUAAUACGGAGGGAGCGAGCGUUAAUCGGAAUUACUGGGCGUAAAGCGCGCGUAGGCGGUCUGAUAAGCCGGUUGUGAAAGCCCCGGGCUCAACCUGGGAACGGCAUCCGGAACUGUCAGGAUAGAGUGCAGGAGAGGAAGGUAGAAUUCCCGGUGUAGCGGUGAAAUGCGUAGAGAUCGGGAGGAAUACCAGUGGCGAAGGCGGCCUUCUGGACUGACACUGCCGCUGAGGUGCGAAAGCGUGGGUAGCAAACAGGAUUAGAUACCCUUGUAGUC
rnacentral:rRNA from 1 species